GGUGGCUCAGUGGUAGAGCGCCUGUCUUGCAUCCAUGAGGCCCUGGGUUCAAUUCCUCAGCACCA
rnacentral:tRNA from 1 species